rnacentral:lncRNA from 1 species
AGGCAGGGGGAGGUGAGGUGAGGUCUGGGGUGGAGCAGGGAGGAAGGGGAUGGCGAUGGACCAGCGGCGGCGACCGGAAGGAUGGCAGGAGGAAGCUAAUCGGCUGAUUUGGAUUUGAUUAGUUGAAGCUAUACUGUCGGGGGAUUCUCAAUCCACCAAAUAAGGUGCUCUUUCUCUCUAAUCACCGGUGUUGUGAAAGA